rnacentral:lncRNA from 1 species
CCAACUACAAAUCAAAACCUCCAGUUUCAUUUCAGACUUAGAGAAAUAAGUCAUUCAAAACGAGAUUUCUUUCGUUACAAAAGCCAAAUCAAACAGAGUUCAGGAUUUUACAAAUAUGAAAACCUCAACAAAUUUAUGGAGAGCCCUGAUCAAGCAGAACAGGUACCACAGUGCAGUUCCAGCUCAGUAGUCCUCAAGUCCAGCCACUUCUGUCCCUUUCAGACUGAAGAGACUGCAAUUCUACCCGUUCAAAAAGCCUUCCAGGGCUUGAAAUAGAUUAAAGCUCUACCAAACUACCAAACUCGAACGUUGGUAUCUAUUUACAACUGAAGCUUAGCAAUUGAAGUUGUUGACAGUCCAAUCCAGCACAUGCAUACCCAGUCCAGCCCGGAUCAGAAGCUUUUACUCAGGCAUAAAUGGAAGUCCAGCCUUCUUUUUGUCUUUCUAGAGUUGGUUUUUUCCUUUUGAGUCUUGUAAAAGGCAGUUCUGCCUAAAAAUAGUUCGUUUUCUUAUCAUUUCUUCUGGCCAGAACUACUAGUUUUAUAUUGUGAAAAAUUGUGAAGUCCUCACCGGUCUAAGGUAACAAAAGAACUUACUUGGG